rnacentral:lncRNA from 1 species
UUUUUUGUACAUAAAUAAGGCCGCUAGUUUUCUCGUUUGCAUUGUUUUACAUUGUCAUUUCGGGGCCUUUUGAAGCUGAGUAUGCGGUAUGGGCUUUGCUCUUUGUUGAAGGCCGUACGGUAACCUAUAAUUGUUAAUUUCUGUGUCAUUUUGGUCUCUUGUGGAGAGUUGUCUCAACAUGGCAAUCAUACCACAUCUUCUUUUUUUUUGUAAUCAUGAAUUU